rnacentral:rRNA from 1 species
UUCGGUUGAUCCCGCCGGACCUGACUGCUAUCGGAUUGAUACUAAGCCAUGCGAGUCAUUGUAGCAAUACAAGGCAGACGGCUCAGUAACGCGUAGUCAACCUAACCUAUGGACGGGAAUAACCUCGGGAAACUGAGAAUAAUGCCCGAUAGAACACUAUACCUGGAAUGGUUUGUGUUCCAAAUGAUUUAUCGCCGUAGGAUGGGACUGCGGCCUAUCAGUUUGUUGGUGAGGUAAUGGCCCACCAAGACUAUUACAGGUACGGGCUCUGAGAGGAGUAGCCCGGAGAUGGGUACUGAGACACGGACCCAGGCCCUAUGGGGCGCAGCAGGCGAGAAAACUUUGCAAUGUGCGAAAGCACGACAAGGUUAAUCCGAGUGAUUUGUGCUAAACGAAUCUUUUGUUAGUCCUAGAACCACUAACGAAUAAGGGGUGGGCAAGUUCUGGUGUCAGCCGCCGCGGUAAAACCAGCACCUCAAGUGGUCAGGAUGAUUAUUGGGCCUAAAGCAUCCGUAGCCGGCUCUGUAAGUUUUCGGUUAAAUCUGUACGCUUAACGUACAGGCUGCCGGGAAUACUGCAGAGCUAGGGAGUGGGAGAGGUAGACGGUACUCGGUAGGAAGGGGUAAAAUCCUUUGAUCUAUUGAUGACC